rnacentral:rRNA from 1 species
AGCGUACACGGUGGAUGCCCUGGCAGUCAGAGGCGAUGAAGGACGUGCUAAUCUGCGAUAAGCGUCGGUGAGGUGAUAUGAACCGUUAUAACCGGCGAUUUCCGAAUGGGGAAACCCAGUGUGUUUCGACACACUAUCAUUAACUGAAUCCAUAGGUUAAUGAGGCGAACCGGGGGAACUGAAACAUCUAAGUACCCCGAGGAAAAGAAAUCAACCGAGAUUCCCCCAGUAGCGGCGAGCGAACGGGGAGGAGCCCAGAGCCUGAAUCAGUGUGUGUGUUAGUGGAAGCGUCUGGAAAGGCGCGCGAUACAGGGUGACAGCCCCGUACACAAAAAUGCACAUACUGUGAGCUCGAUGAGUAGGGCGGGACACGUGGUAUCCUGUCUGAAUAUGGGGGGACCAUCCUCCAAGGCUAAAUACUCCUGACUGACCGAUAGUGAACCAGUACCGUGAGGGAAAGGCGAAAAGAACCCCGGCGAGGGGAGUGAAAAAGAACCUGAAACCGUGUACGUACAAGCAGUGGGAGCCUCUUAAUGGGGUGACUGCGUACCUUUUGUAUAAUGGGUCAGCGACUUAUAUUCUGUAGCAAGGUUAACCGAAUAGGGGAGCCGAAGGGAAACCGAGUCUUAACUGGGCGUUAAGUUGCAGGGUAUAGACCCGAAACCCGGUGAUCUAGCCAUGGGCAGGUUGAAGGUUGGGUAACACUAACUGGAGGACCGAACCGACUAAUGUUGAAAAAUUAGCGGAUGACUUGUGGCUGGGGGUGAAAGGCCAAUCAAACCGGGAGAUAGCUGGUUCUCCCCGAAAGCUAUUUAGGUAGCGCCUCGUGAAUUCAUCUCCGGGGGUAGAGCACUGUUUCGGCAAGGGGGUCAUCCCGACUUACCAACCCGAUGCAAACUGCGAAUACCGGAGAAUGUUAUCACGGGAGACACACGGCGGGUGCUAACGUCCGUCGUGAAGAGGGAAACAACCCAGACCGCCAGCUAAGGUCCCAAAGUCAUGGUUAAGUGGGAAACGAUGUGGGAAGGCCCAGACAGCCAGGAUGUUGGCUUAGAAGCAGCCAUCAUUUAAAGAAAGCGUAAUAGCUCACUGGUCGAGUCGGCCUGCGCGGAAGAUGUAACGGGGCUAAACCAUGCACCGAAGCUGCGGCAGCGACGCUUAUGCGUUGUUGGGUAGGGGAGCGUUCUGUAAGCCUGUGAAGGUGGCCUGUGAGGGUUGCUGGAGGUAUCAGAAGUGCGAAUGCUGACAUAAGUAACGAUAAAGCGGGUGAAAAGCCCGCUCGCCGGAAGACCAAGGGUUCCUGUCCAACGUUAAUCGGGGCAGGGUGAGUCGACCCCUAAGGCGAGGCCGAAAGGCGUAGUCGAUGGGAAACAGGUUAAUAUUCCUGUACUUGGUGUUACUGCGAAGGGGGGACGGAGAAGGCUAUGUUGGCCGGGCGACGGUUGUCCCGGUUUAAGCGUGUAGGCUGGUUUUCCAGGCAAAUCCGGAAAAUCAAGGCUGAGGCGUGAUGACGAGGUACUACGGUGCUGAAGCAACAAAUGCCCUGCUUCCAGGAAAAGCCUCUAAGCAUCAGGUAACAUCAAAUCGUACCCCAAACCGACACAGGUGGUCAGGUAGAGAAUACCAAGGCGCUUGAGAGAACUCGGGUGAAGGAACUAGGCAAAAUGGUGCCGUAACUUCGGGAGAAGGCACGCUGAUAUGUAGGUGAAGCGACUUGCUCGUGGAGCUGAAAUCAGUCGAAGAUACCAGCUGGCUGCAACUGUUUAUUAAAAACACAGCACUGUGCAAACACGAAAGUGGACGUAUACGGUGUGACGCCUGCCCGGUGCCGGAAGGUUAAUUGAUGGGGUUAGCGGUAACGCGAAGCUCUUGAUCGAAGCCCCGGUAAACGGCGGCCGUAACUAUAACGGUCCUAAGGUAGCGAAAUUCCUUGUCGGGUAAGUUCCGACCUGCACGAAUGGCGUAAUGAUGGCCAGGCUGUCUCCACCCGAGACUCAGUGAAAUUGAACUCGCUGUGAAGAUGCAGUGUACCCGCGGCAAGACGGAAAGACCCCGUGAACCUUUACUAUAGCUUGACACUGAACAUUGAGCCUUGAUGUGUAGGAUAGGUGGGAGGCUUUGAAGUGUGGACGCCAGUCUGCAUGGAGCCGACCUUGAAAUACCACCCUUUAAUGUUUGAUGUUCUAACGUGGGCCCCUUACCGGGGUUGCGGACAGUGUCUGGUGGGUAGUUUGACUGGGGCGGUCUCCUCCUAAAGAGUAACGGAGGAGCACGAAGGUUGGCUAAUCCUGGUCGGACAUCAGGAGGUUAGUGCAAUGGCAUAAGCCAGCUUGACUGCGAGCGUGACGGCGCGAGCAGGUGCGAAAGCAGGUCAUAGUGAUCCGGUGGUUCUGAAUGGAAGGGCCAUCGCUCAACGGAUAAAAGGUACUCCGGGGAUAACAGGCUGAUACCGCCCAAGAGUUCAUAUCGACGGCGGUGUUUGGCACCUCGAUGUCGGCUCAUCACAUCCUGGGGCUGAAGUAGGUCCCAAGGGUAUGGCUGUUCGCCAUUUAAAGUGGUACGCGAGCUGGGUUUAGAACGUCGUGAGACAGUUCGGUCCCUAUCUGCCGUGGGCGCUGGAGAACUGAGGGGGGCUGCUCCUAGUACGAGAGGACCGGAGUGGACGCAUCACUGGUGUUCGGGUUGUCAUGCCAAUGGCACUGCCCGGUAGCUAAAUGCGGAAGAGAUAAGUGCUGAAAGCAUCUAAGCACGAAACUUGCCCCGAGAUGAGUUCUCCCUGACUCCUUGA